UGUAAAACCAUACAAAUAUGAGCCGUUUAAGUAUUUAUUUUGUUUUAGUUUUAGUUCUUCUCAAUGUAGGCGUGUCAUUAGCAGGAGUCCGGAAAGCCCGUUCUCCACAAUUUGGUCCAGCCGGUGGAUUUGGUGGAGGUUUCUCACAGCCAGGAUUUGGACAUGGUGGUUUUGGCGGACUCGGUUUUGAACAAGGCGGGCCGGGUUUUGGACAGGGGGGAUUCGGGCAACCUGGUUUUCGUAGGCCCGGAUUUGGACAAGGAGGCUUUGGCGGGCCUGGUUUUGGCCAGGGCGGGCCGGGUUUUGGACAGGGGGGAUUCGGGCAACCUGGUUUCGGCGGACAAGGAUUUGGACAGGGUGGUUUUGGAGCCGGUGGGUUCGGUCGACGUUUUUGAAUGAAAUAAAUGCUUUAUUGUUACUGUUAA